rnacentral:tRNA from 1 species
CGGGGACUAGCGCAACUUGGUUAGCGCGCCUGGUUUGGGACCAGGAGGUUCGCGGUUCAAAUCCGCGGUCCCCGACCA